rnacentral:rRNA from 1 species
ACUCAAAUGAAUUGACGGGGACCCGCACAAGCAGUGGAGUAUGUGGUUUAAUUCGAAGCAACGCGAAGAACCUUACCAGGUCUUGACAUCUGGGUGUAAGCACUAGAGAUAGUGCCCCUCUUCGGAGCACCCAAGACAGGUGGUGCAUGGUUGUCGUCAGCUCGUGUCGUGAGAUGUUGGGUUAAGUCCCGCAACGAGCGCAACCCUUGAUCUUAGUUGCCAGCACUUUGGGUGGGCACUCUAAGAUGACUGCCGGUGACAAACCGGAGGAAGGUGGGGAUGACGUCAAAUCAUCAUGCCCCUUAUGACCUGGGCUACACACGUACUACAAUGGUCGGUACAACGGGAAGCGAAGCCGCGAGGUGGAGCCAAUCCUUAAAAGCCGAUCUCAGUUCGGAUUGCAGGCUGCAACUCGCCUGCAUGAAGUCGGAAUUGCUAGUAAUCGCGGAUCAGCAUGCCGCGGUGAAUACGUUCCCGGGUCUUGUACACACCGCCCGU